GCGCCGAGCGGGGCUGGUCAGUGCUGCUGCGGUCACUUUACCUUCUGCACCGGCGGCUGCGUGGUUUCUUGGCCUCCCCCUCCUCCUGCGGUCCUCUAACAGCCAGGCCUCUGCCACGGCGACCGGGCCAGCCGAGGAGGGGCCCCGCGGCGCGCCAGGCCUCCUUGGGAGAGGAGGGCGGAGGCUCGCGGUGGGGAAUCGCAGCUCGGCCCCACUCGGGGAAGGCUGCCAAGCACACUUAGGUCAUCGCGUUGGACUCGGAGGGAACACUGUGUUCAUGCCACCAACCUGCAUCCACUUGCAGCAAAUUUCACCAGAAAUACUUCUGACUCACUAUCUCGGGCAAUGUUUUUUAUCUUAAUAAACUCAAUGCAAAGCAUAAUCUAAAUCAGCUUGCACAUUCUUGAGCCGGAGCCACAGGCUGCGUUUAAUAAAAAUCAGCCAAAAUAGCAGGGAACUUCUGACCAAGCGCGGCGUCACCUGACGCUGGGAGUCUGAAGGCAGAGGCUGCAGGUCCCAGGGAGGCUGGGGGAACCCGAGACCCCCAGGGACCCCGCUGUCUGAGUCUGGGUUCCCACGGCCAGCAGCACGUCAGGAGCUGCUAUGACAACAGAUGAGGACAAGGUGACCAUGCAUGCCUCUCCGUAGCCUAGCCUCAUUUCCUCCUUGCUGCCACUUAACUUCUCCAAGCCUCGGUUUGCUGAGCUGUAAAAUGGGACAAAUCUUCGCCUGUAUCUUCAAGAGAUGCUAUGACGCUUAAAUGAGAUAAUCCAUCUCUGGAACAUUACAAGUGUUCCAAAAUAGAAAAAAAAUCCCCUGACAUGUGGGUUCCAACCUUAGAGAGAUAACUCCUUGGUCCAGGGUGGAAUUCAGGCACAAAUGCUGUUCAGAUGCCCCCAGUUAUUCUCCUGGGCUAUCAAUAGGUGCUCACCUGGCCCAGGUACUGAGGUCGUCACCUCCUGACCACUGACUCUUGCCCGGCUUUGUGUGGGCCUCGGAGGUACUCCACUCCUUAUAAACCCCCACGGAGGGCUCCUG
rnacentral:lncRNA from 1 species